GACGAACGCUGGCGGCGUGCUUAACACAUGCAAGUCGAACGGAAAGGCCCUGCUUGCAGGGUACUCGAGUGGCGAACGGGUGAGUAACACGUGGGUGAUCUGCCCUGCACUUCGGGAUAAGCUUGGGAAACUGGGUCUAAUACCGGAUAGGAGCCAUCUUUAGUGUGGUGGUUGGAAAGUUUUUUCGGUGUAGGAUGAGCUCGCGGCCUAUCAGCUUGUUGGUGGGGUAAUGGCCUACCAAGGCGGCGACGGGUAGCCGGCCUGAGAGGGUGUACGGCCACAUUGGGACUGAGAUACGGCCCGGACUCCUACGGGAGGCAGCAGUGGGGAAUAUUGCACAAUGGGCGCAAGCCUGAUGCAGCGACGCCGCGUGGGGGAUGAAGGCCUUCGGGUUGUAAACUCCUUUCGCUAGGGACGAAGCUUUUUGUGACGGUACCUAGAUAAGAAGCACCGGCUAACUACGUG
rnacentral:rRNA from 1 species